AGUGAACGCUGGCGGUAGGCCUAACACAUGCAAGUCGAACGGCAGCACAGUAAGAGCUUGCUCUUACGGGUGGCGAGUGGCGGACGGGUGAGGAAUACAUCGGAAUCUACUUUUUCGUGGGGGAUAACGUAGGGAAACUUACGCUAAUACCGCAUACGACCUACGGGUGAAAGCAGGGGAUCUUCGGACCUUGCGCGAUUGAAUGAGCCGAUGUCGGAUUAGCUAGUUGGCGGGGUAAAGGCCCACCAAGGCGACGAUCCGUAGCUGGUCUGAGAGGAUGAUCAGCCACACUGGAACUGAGACACGGUCCAGACUCCUACGGGAGGCAGCAGUGGGGAAUAUUGGACAAUGGGCGAAAGCCUGAUCCAGCCAUACCGCGUGGGUGAAGAAGGCCUUCGGGUUGUAAAGCCCUUUUGUUGGGAAAGAAAAGCAGCGGGUUAAUACCCCGCUGUUCUGACGGUACCCAAAGAAUAAGCACCGGCUAACUUCGUG
rnacentral:rRNA from 1 species